UUGCUGUUUUCCAGAACUUUCACAGGAGUUGUUUCUUCAUGUGAUUGCUGUUUUCCAGGUGAUGCUGCAGCUCUGCUGCUCCUGACAGCAGUGUGUCUGAGUUUCUGUGCGGAGGCCCUGGAGAAGGUGGAGGCCCGGUGCCAUUCUAACGUCAGCCUCCCCUGUGAUGCUCACAGCCAGAACUACCGCUCUCUCACCUGGUACAAGCUGCACAGCCGGACGAGUAUCCUCAAGAGGAAGGGGGGUAAUAUCACCACAUAUGAUUACCCCCGUGCAGUUGCCCUUGGGCCUCAGGGGGAGCUGAUCCUGCCCCGUGUUACCCCCAAUGACUCGGGCACCUUCGAGUGCCUCCUGAGGGCAGACCUUGGGGGGCAGAA
rnacentral:lncRNA from 1 species